GUGAGGAAUUUUCCGCAAUGGGCGAAAGCCUGAUCCAGCAAUGCCGCGUGCAGGAUGAAGGCCCUCGGGUUGUAAACUGCUUUUGUACGGAACGAAAAGCCUGGGGCUAAUAUCCCCGGGUCAUGACGGUACCGUAAGAAUAAGCACCGGCUAACUACGUGCCAGCAGCCGCGGUAAUACGUAGGGUGCAAGCGUUAAUCGGAAUUACUGGGCGUAAAGCGUGCGCAGGCGGUUUUGUAAGACAGUGGUGAAAUCCCCGGGCUCAACCUGGGAACUGCCAUUGUGACUGAAAGGCUAGAGUGCGGCAGAGGGGGAUGGAAUUCCGCGUGUAGCAGUGAAAUGCGUAGAUAUGCGGAGGAACACCGAUGGCGAAGGCAAUCCCCUGGGCCUGCACUGACGCUCAUGCACGAAAGCGUGGGGAGCAAACAGGAUUAGAAACCCCAGUAGUCC
rnacentral:rRNA from 1 species